AGAGCUGAUAAUUGGUAAUUGCCAGUCAAGUACAACUUAGAGCAAGAUAGCAAGAACUCAACUGUACAUAUUCUGUAGUUAGUCAGAUAAGAAACUUUAUACUGAGUUAAUACUUGCCAAGAUUUAAUUAGACUGGAAUUGUGCUCUGAAUAUCGGCAUAGAUUUUGUUGAUAUGAUGCAGCGCUUCCGAAGCAAAGAAUAUUGCACCACUCAAGUUGUCGUUCACAAAAUCUCAAUUCCUGCAGCCAGGCACAGAUAACGCCUCUUUUGAUGUUAAAUUCACGCUGAAGAAAUCGACAUCGUUGGAUUAAAAAUUUAAUAACAUAACUAAAUUAAUUUCAACUCUAAUUACGCUACGUUAUCAUUGCGAUUAAAUGUAUAAUAAACAAAACGUUCCAAAAUGUUUGAAUUUAGAACUCUUUACGACGGGAGGUAGAAAUGUGAAUUAAAAGAUGAAACAGAUCAA